GACGAACGCUGGCGGCGUGCUUAACACAUGCAAGUCGAACGAUGAAGCUGUGCUUGCACAGUGGAUUAGUGGCGAACGGGUGAGUAACACGUGAGUAACCUGCCCUCCACUUUGGGAUAACUCCGAGAAAUCGGGGCUAAUACUGGAUAUGACCUUGGCCCGCAUGGGUUUGGUGGAAAGUUUUUCCGGUGGGGGCAUGGGCUCGCGGCCUAUCAGUUUGUUGGUGAGGUAGUGGCUCACCAAGGCGAUGACGGGUAGCCGGCCUGAGAGGGGCCGACCGGCCACACUGGGACUGAGACACGGCCCGAGACUCCUACGGGAGGCAGCANUGGGGCAAUAUUGCACAAUGGGCGAAAGCCUGAUGCAGCGACGCCGCGUGGGGCAUGACGGCCUCGGUUGUAACUCUUCAGCAAGGAAGAGCGAAGUGACGGUCUUGCAGAAGAAGCGCCGGCUAACUACGUGCCAGCAGCCGCGGU
rnacentral:rRNA from 1 species